AUAGACAGUGCAGUGAGCUUCACUCUUUGUAGAAAUCAGUGAUGGAAAGUCGGCCCAGUGCAGCGAAGAUACCUUUGGUUCGGUGUUGAACGAAUAAAUCAGUAUAGAAACUUUGACUUAGCAAAGUCCAUUGGUUUGGUGUACCUAGAAAGUGUAACUCAGAGCACGGAAGCAUUGACACAGUCUAGAGACAUUCACUUUUGAGUGUAGAAUUGCGACUGGGCACUGAAAUAACUCCGUGUGGAAAGAGAAAAUCAGUACAGAAACGGCACCUCGGCCGGAGAAUGAUUAACAAGAGUUUUAGAAAAAAGAAAAACAUUGAACAAUUCGCAACUUCAUGAAGAAAGAUAAACAACUCGUUUUAACAUUCAUUUGGUGUAGAACAAGCUGAUACAAAAACACUACACGACGGCAAAAGUUAGUAUAAUAUCAAACACAAAGAGGCAAAAGCAGGAUAUCAUUUACUUGUACAAAUAUUACACGCGUUCAAAUUAUUCAGAUGUGUUUAAUAUACAAACAUUAAAGAUGUCGUUGCAGUGGAAAAUAUGGAUUAGAAUCACUCUGAAUAUUUUAUUUCUGCAAAUCACAACUAUUGCUGGAGAUUGCAUGGAACCGCCACCAGUUCCCAGCGCCUAUAGAUUUACCGACAGUAAUUCGUAUCUGACCAACGGUGCUGUUAACUAUUCCUGUUAUAUGAAUCAUAUAAAGAUUGGAGGUCACGAACAAAUUAUUUGUCAAUCUGAUGGAACAUUUCAGCCUGCAGCACUUGAAUGUAAACUAUCUUGUGGUAAACCCAGAAUUAUCGAAGGUACAAAAUACAACAAAUCUAUAUCUGGUCAAUAUUUAGCUGGGGAUACAUUCGAGUACCAUUGCAUUGCUAACCAAUCAUUAUCUUUGCGAACGACUUGUAAUGAAAUGAUUGGACGAUGGGAUCCGGCUUACUUUAUGUGUUCCGGCUAUAAUAAUUUGGCACUAAAUAGACCUGCA